rnacentral:rRNA from 1 species
GAUGAACGCUGGCGGCGUGCCUAAUACAUGCAAGUCGAGCGAACAGACGAGGAGCUUGCUCCUCUGACGUUAGCGGCGGACGGGUGAGUAACACGUGUAUAACCUACCUAUAAGACUGGGAUAACUUCGGGAAACCGGAGCUAAUACCGGAUAAUAUAUUGAACCGCGUGGUUCAAUAGUGAAAUACGGUUUUGCUGUCACUUAUAGAUGGAUCCGCGCCGCAUUAGCUAGUUGGUAAGGUAACGGCUUACCAAGGCAACGAUGCGUAGCCGACCUGAGAGGGUGAUCGGCCACACUGGAACUGAGCCACGGUCAAGACUACUACGGGAGGCAGCAGUAGGGAAUCUUCCGCAAUGGGCGAAAGCCUGACGGAGCAACGCCGCGUGAGUGAUGAAGGUCUUCGGAUCGUAAAACUCUGUUAUUAGGGAAGAACAAAUGUGUAAGUAACUAUGCACGUCUUGACGGUACUUAAUCAGAAAGCCACGGCUAACUACGUG